rnacentral:misc_RNA from 1 species
AUAUUACAUAUUUGUCAUGUUUAAUCAGAUACAACAAAAUAGGUCGUCUCCUAUUUAUUCUAUUAACACAUUCUUUUCUAGCACUUCCUCUUCUAAAGUUUGAUGGAACAGGAGGGUGGUAGUCGCUUGAACUACACUUACACGCCAAUCAAAAGAAACAAGUACAAUAAAAUAACAACUAAAGAACCAAAAGCUCAAAGUUACACAUUUCCAGAAGCAUUUCCUUGACCAUCGAGAGCUACAAUCACAAUUAGUCAAAUUUCUAAUGCAGAUAUGUAGAACUCAGGUAGUAAAAAAAACUUCAAUAAUUAUGGCCUGGUAUGAAGAAGUAAAAUAUAUCAACUAAAUUAAUUAAUAUUAAGUAUGAACAUACCUUCUUAAUAUCCCUCAAUGCAA